GAUAUAAAUUAUUUUAUUUUCAGAUAUCAUUCUACACAUUCUACUCUAUUUAGCAAGUACUGAUUACAAUGCAUCAAGGCAACAAACGAAAUUAAUGGAGAUAAUCCAUAUUCAUAGAUCGAGUUCACUUACGACGACUAAUUGGCGAUAAACAAAUGAUGAUUAUCCAUUAAUGUGCAUGGCGUUUCGCUCAAUAGGCAAUCGAGAAUGUAUUUUGAACACAUUCUGGUUUUUCUGACGAUAUCGUUCCAUAGAAUCUCAGGAUCUCCUCUUAAUGGUCCCUGCGCAUCAGAUGACGACUGUGGCACAAUAGACACCUACUGCAAGAAUCAAACGUGUGUUUGUGCUGAAAAUUUCGGUGUUUGGUACGACAGCUGCGUACAAU